UUUGUAGAAUGAACCGGCGAGUUACGAUUUGAUGCAAGGUUAAGCAGUAAAUGUGGAGCCGUAGCGAAAGCGAGUCUGAAUAGGGCGUUUAGUAUUUGGUCGUAGACCCGAAACCAGGUGAUCUACCCUUGGUCAGGUUGAAGUUCAGGUAACACUGAAUGGAGGACCGAACCGACUUACGUUGAAAAGUGAGCGGAUGAACUGAGGGUAGCGGAGAAAUUCCAAUCGAACCUGGAGAUAGCUGGUUCUCUCCGAAAUAGCUUUAGGGCUAGCCUCAAGUGAUGAUUAUUGGAGGUAGAGCACUGUUUGGACGAGGGGCCCCUCUCGGGUUACCGAAUUCAGACAAACUCCGAAUGCCAAUUAAUUUAACUUGGGAGUCAGAACAUGGGUGAUAAGGUCCGUGUUCGAAAGGGAAACAGCCCAGACCACCAGCUAAGGUCCCAAAAUAUAUGUUAAGUGGAAAAGGAUGUGGCGUUGCCCAGACAACUAGGAUGUUGGCUUAGAAGCAGCCAUCAUUUAAAGAGUGCGU
rnacentral:rRNA from 1 species